GGUUGUCGACUUCGGACUCGGAAACAAACGAUCGACCGCAUCUGAGAAAAGAAAGGCUAUCCCAGACAUUUCAUCUCAGCAUUGUGUGUGUGUUUGGACUAAAAACUGUGCCGCCGUAAAAACGGAUUAAAGAUUGUUAAUCGAUGGGCUCUAAACUACUAUGCAUUGACAACUGAUACCAAAAGGGAUCGUUCUUCAGAUAUUAUUAUACAGAAGACAGGAAUGACAGAAACUGUAAGAAAUCUCGUAAUUACGCCAAAAAUAUCAGAAAAUGAAGUAGAGCAUUUAGAAAAGUCUUCAACGAAAGGCGAACCCAAUCUAUCUGAAACUUUUAACAGCAGACCUGCUCAAACUAAAAUUAAUUGGCACUUUGUUAUUAUGUUCGCUACUAUUCAUAUAUUUGGACUGGCUGGAAUUUUUAUGUUUGAUUCUCUAAAGUUUUUCAUGUAUGUA
rnacentral:lncRNA from 1 species